GUCCUUUUGAUAUUAAUAUAAGGUCUGACCUGCCCACUGAUUUUUUUGAAGGGCCGCAGUAAUUUGACUGUGCAAAGGUAGCAUAAUCAUUAGUUUUUUAAUUAAAAGCUUGUAUGAAGGGUUGGACGAGGUAAAAUCUGUCUCUAUUUAAAUUAUUAUAGAAUUUAAUUUUUAAGUUAAAAAGCUUAAAUUUAUUUAAAAGACGAGAAGACCCUAUAGAUCUUUAUAUAAAUUGUAUUAAUUUUAAUUAAGAAUAUUUUAUUUAUUAUUAUUAUUUAUAUUUUAUUGGGGUAAUAAAAAGAUUAAGAAAAUUCUUUUUUUAUUUAAACAUUGAUUUAUGAUUAAAUGAUCCAAUAUUUUUGAUUAAAAGAUUAAGUUACCUUAGGGAUAACAGCGUAAUUUUUUUAGAGAGUUCAUAUCGAUAAAAAAGUUUGCGACCUCGAUGUUGGAUUAAAAAUUAUCUUAGGUGCAGAAGUUUAAGAUUUUGGUCUGUUCGACCAUUAAAUUUUUACA
rnacentral:rRNA from 1 species